rnacentral:rRNA from 1 species
CCCGGGCCUUGUACACACCGCCCGUCACACCAUGGGAGUGGGUUGUACCAGAAGUCGAUAGCUUAACCGAAAGGGGGGCGUCGACCACGGUAUGGUUCAUGACUGGGGUG